ACUCAAAUGAAUUGACGGGGGCUCACACAAGCGGUGGAGGAUGUGGUUUAAUUCGAAGCAACGCGCAGAACCUUACCAGGUCUUGACAUACCGGGAUUAGUUUUGGGAAACCAGAAUGAUUCCUCGCAAGAGGGUAACCGGAACAGGUGCUGCAUGGCUGUCGUCAGCUCGUGCCGUGAGGUGUUAGGUUAAGUCCUUUAACGAGCGAAACCCCUACGAUUAGUUGCCAUCAGGUGAAGCUGGGCACUCUAGUCGGACUGCCGCGCAAGCUGGAGGAAGGUGGGGACGACGUCAAGUCAUCAUGGCCUUUAUGACCUGGGCCACACACGUCCUACAAUGGGUUAUACAAAGGGUCGCCAAACCGUAAGGUGGAGCCAAUCCCAGAAAGUAACCCUCAGUUCAGAUAGUGGGCUGCAAUUCGCCCACUUGAAGCUGGAAUCGCUAGUAAUCGCAGAUCAGCCACGCUGCGGUGAAUUUGUUCCUGAGCCUUGUACACACCGCCCGU
rnacentral:rRNA from 1 species